rnacentral:rRNA from 1 species
AGAGUUUGAUCCUGGCUCAGAACGAACGCUGGCGGCGUGGAUAAGACAUGCAAGUCGAGCGCUGAUUACAGGGUAGCAAUAUUCUGUGGUCGGAGCGGCGCAAGGGUGCGUAACACGUGGGUAAUCUGCCAUGAAGUUUGGAAUAACUUGCUGAAAGGCGAGCUAAUACCGGAUGUGACGAUUGGAAGGCAUCUUCUGAUCUUCAAAGCUGGGGACCGUAAGGCCUGGCGCUUCAUGAUGAGCCCGCGGCCUAUCAGCUAGUUGGUGAGGUAACGGCUCACCAAGGCUAAGACGGGUAGCUGGUCUGAGAGGACGACCAGCCACACUGGAACUGAGACACGGUCCAGACACCUACGGGUGGCAGCAGUCGAGAAUUUUUCACAAUGGGCGCAAGCCUGAUGGAGCGACGCCGCGUGGGGGAUGAAUGGCUUCGGCCCGUAAACCCCUGUCAUUUGCGAACAAAUUGGUUCAACUAAUACCUGAACCAUUGAUAGUAGCGAAAGAGGAAGGGACGGCUAACUCUGUGCCAGCAGCCGCGGUAAUACAGAGGUCCCAAGCGUUGUUCGGAUUCACUGGGCGUAAAGGGUGCGUAGGUGGAGGUAAGUCGGAUGUGAAAUCUCCGAGCUCAACUCGGAAACUGCAUUGGAAACUACCUUGCUCGAGGGUUGGAGGGGGGACUGGAAUGCUUGGUGUAGCAGUGAAAUGCGUAGAUAUCAAGCGGAACACCAGUGGCGAAGGCGAGUCCCUGGACAACUCCUGACACUGAGGCACGAAAGCUAGGGGAGCAAACAGGAUUAGAUACCCUAGUAGUCC